rnacentral:rRNA from 1 species
CUGUGCCUACGGGAGGCAGCAGUGGGGGAUAUUGCACAAUGGGGGAAACCCUGAUGCAGCGACGCCGCGUGAGUGAAGAAGAAUUUCGGUAUGUAAAGCUCUAUCAGCAGGGAAGAACAAUGACGGUACCUGACUAAGAAGCACCGGCUAAAUACGUGCCAGCAGCCGCGGUAAUACGUAUGGUGCAAGCGUUAUCCGGAUUUACUGGGUGUAAAGGGAGCGCAGGCGGCGCGUUAAGCCUGGUGUGAAAGCCCGCGGCCCAACCGCGGGACUGCAUUGGGAACUGGCGCGCUGGAGGGCCGGAG